GUGACAGUUUAUUUCUUUUUGGUAAAUAUUAGUAUUAUAAAUUUUCACAAUUUAAUUUGAAAUUCUUUAUAUUUUUUUCCGAAAAUGUCAAUAGUCUCUGAAAAUGUUCAAUUUCUUAUUGAUCAAAAAUAACGUUACUAAAUACAAUUAUAUUAUUGAUUAAUUUUAUUAUCUAACGCUAUAAAAAUUAUAAUAUACGAAAUUUUGUAGAAAAUAUAUAUUAUUUCCUGCUGUAAUAUUUAAUUUGUUCAAAAGAAUAAAAAAGCUGUA
rnacentral:misc_RNA from 1 species